AUUAAAAGUUAUAACAGGAGUCAGUAAGUUCAACUUGCAAUUUUGAAAACGUAAUGACUGUCUGUCCUUAACUUUGAAUUUCAAGUUCAAAAGUUAAGGACAUGAGGUCCUUAAGUUAUAGUCCCAUGUUAAAAACUUAAGGACUGCCUGUCCUUAACUUUGAAUUUUAAGUUCAAACGUUAAGGACAUGUGGUCCUUAAGUUAUAGUCCCAUAUUAAAAACGUAAUGACUGUCUGUCCUUAACUUUGAAUUUCAAGUUCAAAAGUUAAGGACAUGAGGUCCUUAAGUUAUAGUCCCAUGUUAAAAACUUAAGGACUGUCUGUCCUCAACUUUGAAUUUCAAGUUCAAACGUUAAGGAUAUGAGGUCCUUAAGUUAUAGUCUCAUGUUAAAAACUUGAGGAUUGUUUGUCAUUAACUACAGGAGUUCUUAAGUUUGAAAUACAAGUUCAAAAGUUAAGGACAUGAGGUCCUUAAGUUAUAGUC
rnacentral:lncRNA from 1 species